rnacentral:rRNA from 1 species
AGAGUUUGAUCCUGGCUCAGAAUCAACGCUGGCGGCGUGCCUAACACAUGCAAGUCGAACGAGAAAGUGGAGCAAUCCAUGAGUAAAGUGGCGACCGGGUGAGUAACACGUGACUAACCUACCUUCGAGUGGGGGAUAACCUCGGGAAACCGGGGCAAAUACCGCAUAAUAUCUUCGGGAUGAGAAGCCGAAGAUCAAAGGAGCAAUUCGCUGGAAGAGGGAGUCGCGGCUGAUUAGCUAGUUGGCGGGGUAAUGGCCCACCAAGGCUUUGAUCGGUAGCCGGCCUGAGAGGGCGCACGGCCACACUGGAACUGAAACACGGUCCAGACUCCUACGGGAGGCAGCAGUGGGGAAUUUUGCGCAAUGGGGGAAACCCUGACGCAGCAACGCCGCGUGGAGGAGGAAGUCCCUUGGGACGUAAACUCCUUUCGACCCGGACGAUAAUGACGUACGGUGAGAGUCG